AUUGAACGCUGGCGGCAGGCCUAACACAUGCAAGUCGAACGAGUGGCGGACGGGUGAGUAAUGUGUGGGAAACUGCCCGAUGGAGGGGGAUAACUACUGGAAACGGUAGCUAAUACCGCAUACCAUCGGAUGUGCACAGAUGGGAUUAGCUAGUGGGUGGGGGAACGGCUCACCUAGGCGACGAUCCCUAGCUGGUCUGAGAGGAUGACCAGCCACACUGGGACUGAGACACGGGCCAGACUCCUACGGGAGGCAGCAGUGGGGAAUAUUGCACAAUGGGCGCAAGCCUGAUGCAGCCAUGCCGCGUGUAUGAAGAAGGCCUUCGGGUUGUAAAGUACUUUCAGCCGGGAGGCGUUACCCGCAGAAGAAGCACCGGCUAACUCCGUGCCAGCAGCCGCGGUAAUAC
rnacentral:rRNA from 1 species